rnacentral:rRNA from 1 species
AAGGGCUCGUAGGCGGUUUGUCGCGUCGGGAGUGAAAACUCAGGGCUCAACCCUGAGCGUGCUUCCGAUACGGGCAGACUAGAGGUAUGCAGGGGAGAACGGAAUUCCUGGUGUAGCGGUGGAAUGCGCAGAUAUCAGGAGGAACACCGGUGGCGAAGGCGGUUCUCUGGGCAUUACCUGACGCUGAGGAGCGAAAGCAUGGGGAGCGAACAGGAUUAGAUACCCUGGUAGUCCAUGCCGUAAACGUUGGGCGCUAGGUGUGGGGACCUUCCACGGUCUCCGUGCCGCAGCUAACGCAUUAAGCGCCCCGCCUGGGGAGUACGGCCGCAAGGCUAAAACUCAAAGGAAUUGACGGGGGCCCGCACAAGCGGCGGAGCAUGCUGAUUAAUUCGAUGCAACGCGAAGAACCUUACCUGGGUUUGACAUAUACCGGAAAGCUGCAGAGAUGUAGCCCCCUUUUGGUCGGUAUACAGGUGGUGCAUGGCUGUCGUCAGCUCGUGUCGUGAGAUGUUGGGUUAAGUCCCGCAACGAGCGCAACCCUCGUUCUAUGUUGCCAGCACGUUAUGGUGGGGACUCAUAGGAGACUGCCGGGGUCAACUCGGAGGAAGGUGGGGAUGACGUCAAGUCUUCAUGCCCCUUAUGUCCAGGGCUUCAAGCAUGCUACAAUGGCCGGUACAAAGGGCUGCGAAACUGUAAGGUGGAGCGAAUCCCAAAAAGCCGGUCUCAGUUCGGAUUGGGGUCUGCAACUCGACCCCAUGAAGUCGGAGUCGCUAGUAAUCGCAGAUCAGCAACGCUGCGGUGAAUACGUUCCCGGGCCUUGUACACACCGCCCGUCACGUCAUGAAAGUCGGCAACACCCGAAGCCAGUGGCCCAACCGUUUACGGAGGGAGCUGUCGAAGGG